UACGAGGGAUGCAAGCGUUAUCCGGAAUUAUUGGGCGUAAAGCGUUUGUAGGCGGGCGAGUGUGUUUAAUGUUAAAUCUUAAAGCUCAACUUUGAAAUUGCGUUAAAAACUGCUUGUCUUGAGUAUGGUAGGGGUAAAGGGAAUUCCCAGUGUAGCGGUGAAAUGCGUAGAUAUUGGGAAGAACACUAAACAGCGAAGGUACUUUACGAGGCUAAUAAUGACUCUGAGAAACGAAAGGUAAGGUAGCGAAACGG
rnacentral:rRNA from 1 species